rnacentral:rRNA from 1 species
CCUACGGGAGGCAGCAGUGAGGAAUAUUGGUCAAUGGGCGAGAGUCUGAACCAGCCAAGUAGCGUGAAGGAUGACUGCCCUACGGGUUGUAAACUUCUUUUAUAAGGGAAUAAAGUUAAGCACGUGUACCGUUUUGUAUGUACUUUAUGAAUAAGGAUCGGCUAACUCCGUGCCAGCAGCCGCGGUAAUACGGAGGAUCCGAGCGUUAUCCGGAUUUAUUGGGUUUAAAGGGAGCGUAGAUGGGUUGUUAAGUCAGUUGUGAAAGUUUGCGGCUCAACCGUAAAAUUGCAAUUGAUACUGGCAGUCUUGAGUACAGUUGAGGUAGGCGGAAUUCGUGGUGUAGCGGUGAAAUGCUUAGAUAUCACGAAGAACUCCGAUUGCGAAGGCAGCUUACUAAACUGCCACUGACAUUGAUGCUCGAAAGUGUGGGUAUCAAACAGGAUGAGAUACCCCGGUAGUC